rnacentral:rRNA from 1 species
UAGGGAAUCUUCCACAAUGGACGCAAGUCUGAUGGAGCAACGCCGCGUGAGUGAAGAAGGUUUUCGGAUCGUAAAGCUCUGUUGUUGGUGAAGAAGGAUAGAGGUAGUAACUGGCCUUUAUUUGACGGUAAUCAACCAGAAAGUCACGGCUAACUACGUGCCAGCAGCCGCGGUAAUACGUAGGGGGCAAGCGUCGUCCGGAUUUAUUGGGCGUAAAGCGAGCGCAGGCGGAAGAAUAAGUAUGCAGUGAAAGCCCUCGGCUGAACCGAGGAACUGCUUCGGUAACUGUUUGUCUUGAGUGCAGAAGAGGGGAGUGGAAUUCCAUGUGUGGCGGUGGAAUGCGUAGAUAUAUGGAAGAACACCAGUGGCGGAGGAGACUCUCUGGUCUGCAACUGACGCUGAGGCUCGUAAGCAUGGGUAGCGAACAAG